UACAGAGGUCCCGAGCGUUUGUUCGGAUUCGCUGGGCGUAAAGGGUGCGUAGGUGGUGAGGUAAGUCGGAUGUGAAAUCUCCAAGCUCAACUUGGAAAUGGCAUUGGAAACUACCUUGCUGGAGGUUUGGAGGGGGGACUGGAAUUCUCGGUGUAGCAGUGAAAUGCGUAGAUAUCAAGAGGAACACCAGUGGCGAAGGCGAGUCCCUGGACGAUACCUGACACUGAGGCACGAAAGCCAAGGGAGCAAACAGG
rnacentral:rRNA from 1 species